rnacentral:misc_RNA from 1 species
AAGUCGUAACAAGGUUUCCGUAGGUGAACCUGCGGAAGGAUCAUUAUCAAAAGAUUUCAUUAUUUUUUGAAAAUAUUUUUCCAAUUUCCCGUGUGUAUUUUACUCCAUGUUGCUUCCACUUGGUAGGUAUUUAAAUAUACCCUUCAACCCACCAAAUACUUGGAGGAUUGAAGAAAUGCCGGUGGAUAGCCUUAAACCAAAAGAACUUUGUUGUAAAUAAUUAGUCUGAUAAAAUGAAAAUAAUAAAAAACUUUCAACAACGGAUCUCUAGGCUCUU